GGAGGGUUGGAGUCGGUUGUUAAUGCAGAGUAAGCAGUCUGGCUUUGCAGCAGCAGCAGCAGCAGCGGCAUCACCACAACCGCCACCACCGGCUCCCUGGAUUAAAGCCAGCAACGUACAGAAUUAGCUCAUUGUUCAAUGCACUCCAACUACGGGCACUAGGUUUUCUCCGUCUUGGGAACCGGGGAGAUCUGUCCGUGGUGCCGCCUCUGCCAGAAAAGCAUGCAGAUAAAGGCUUGGCAGAGUUUUGACAGGGUGGCGGCCAUCUCAUCUGGAUACUGCUGAAGAGCAGAUACAAGGAUGGAAGUGUUCUUUCGGGAAUACUUCCGACCAUCCACCAGGAAAAAAGAUGGCUUCAAGUUGAGGAACAGUAAAACUGAAGUCUUGCUCACGACUCCUUCAAUGGAUGCAGAUUUAUAUUUUGCUGAAAGAAGAUGGAGUCCCUCAUCUUUCACUCAUUUUUCUUCCAUGGGUUUUGAGGUGGCACGCUUACAAAUAUGUUUUUGUUCAUUUUUUUAAUUUUUUAGAUAAAAACUAAUUGAGGGGUCUCUGAACCUGGCUGAUUUUAAAUCAUGGAUAAUAAUACAACAAACAAUAGUUUUACCAAACUGGAAACACUAAACUGUACAAACUGAACAACCAUGCUUGCAACCAAUACAGGUGGGCCUUCUGGCCUUGUCGUACCAUGCAACAUAUUGUCUUCCAUUACUACAUUAGAAGUGCAUAACCAAAGAGUUAACUUUUACAUGUCACUUUCUCAUCAUUAAACAAUAGCAUACAAAGACUGAGAGCCCCCUACAUAUUAUUUCAAUACAUUAAGCUUGUUAGUUCAUAAUGUAUGUCCAAAAUCUUCAAUUGCCUAUGUAACUUCAUAUUUUAGCUCUGUAAAUUUUAUGUAUAGAAAUACUGUAAUAGUAUGUAAUGCAUUGUUUCCUAGUGGUAACUGAUAGUGGUGCUGCUACGGGAUAUGAGACACUGAUGAAUGGUGCUAUUUUGGAUUUUAAAACAUGCUCCUUGGCAAGGUAGCUCUGAUGGAUUUUUUUUUUAACCGUUCUGAGAGCAUAUUGAUGCUUUUCUGAUUGCUUUCAAUUUUUUGGACUUGAGUGACUGGUGGCUUUAAUUUUGGAUUUAUUAGGCUAGGAGCAGUACCUAUUGACUGAAGAGUUGAAUUGCAGCAAAAUGGAUGCAUGACAGUGCCUGAGAGAAAAAGGGGACAAUUACAGCAUUGCAAUCUUGUCUUUUUUAAAUUGCUUUCUCCCUCUAAGCACUUUAAUAGUUCUAAGAAAUCUUUAAAAAGCAUUUCUUUUAAAUACUCAGCUGUAGGUUGAGAUAGUCAUUUGUUGUUUUAAUUAUGUCCUUAGUAUGCAAAGUCUAUAACCAUGACUAUAAUAUGAGCUGCAGUAUUCUGCACAUUUCAGACAUAUAAAAAUAGGGUAACUAGAAAUAAUGAAAUGUUUGGAACAGAAAACUGGGACAUAUCCAUAGAAUAGAAUACACUCCUAUGACAAAGUACAGAAUGUGCUUUUGGAAGACUCUUUAUUUGACAGAAAAUGGAUCGUGGAAUAUAUUGCCAAACAUGGGAGACACAGAACCCUAAUCUCUUUAUUGUGGGAGGCUGUUUCCCUCUUGGCACAAUUCAAUAAAUUGGAGAUGGGAUUUUUAAAAUUAUCACUAAGUACCAAGUCAAACUUAGUCUAUAAGUAAACCUGAUGAUGUUAACUUUUGAUACUCUUUAAGCUUUUACAGUUAAACAAUUAUAGAUGCAAACGGCAUGUAAAAAUGAAUUUAAGGGAAACCUUUUGACUUGGUAUCAGUUAUGACAUUGAUCAAUCUACAGAGAUACCCAAUCGAUUGGAUUUAACAAUUGACUGUGAAGCUGAUCAAGUCUAAUUUCGGCACGGACUAGAAGGGUCGAGAUGGCCUGUUUCCGUGCUGUAAUUGUUAUAAUUGGCUGCCUAUCUAAUUGUGGAUUAAAUGUUAGUGUUCUUUUGCAAAUUUUAUUUUUCCAAAGAAGCUCGUCUUCAUUUUUGAUAAAGAACAAAAAUAACACAAAAUACUCAUUGUGAACAAGGGGACAAAGUAGAAUGAAAAGGAUGCUUGCUGUUUUGUGUUUGCUCCCUUUCAAACUAAACCAUAUAGUACCACCAAAUAUGAGAUGCUGCUGUGUUAGAUAUGGUCUGAAAGCCCACCUUAAGAAAUAUAUUAAUGUCUCUUUAGCUGUUCCUUCCAUUCAAGCUUUCCUGCUUGUUCUGAAAUAUUCCAGUUUCUGACUGUUAAAUGCUGAUGCAUGUAAUCAUUAUUUACUGUGUUUAAACAUUACGGUUGAAGCUGUAACUAACAAAGUAGGCCAUUAGUAGCAUUUAGCAUAUGUACAAAGGUUAUACUUUAUGAUAAUGAAAUGAUAUGACAUGUUUUAAUGAAAAUGUGAUCUUCAAUUGUUUUACUGUUAUAUGACAUAUACCCAGUAUAUCACUAUUUUGUGUUUUAGUAGAAUUCAAUAAAUAUUAAUCGCAAUUAA